rnacentral:rRNA from 1 species
GACGAACGCUGGCGGUGUGCUUAACACAUGCAAGUGGUGCGACGAACCAGAGCUUGCUCUGGGGCAAAGCCGCGAACGGGUGAGUAACACGUGGGUAAUCUACCCCGAUGACCGGGACAACCCGAGGAAACUCGGGCUAAUACCGGAUGUGGUACGGAGACAUAAGUCUCUUUACUAAAGGUAGCUUCGGCUUCCGCAUUGGGAGGGGCCCGCGGCCCAUUAGCUAGUUGGUGGGGUCAAGGCCUACCAAGGCAACGAUGGGUAGCUGAUCUGAGAGGACGAUCAGCCACACUGGGACUGAGACACGGCCCAGACUCCUACGGGAGGCAGCAGUGGGGAAUCUUGCGCAAUGCGCGAAAGCGUGACGCAGCAACACCGCGUGAGGGAAGACGGCCUUAGGGUUGUAAACCUCUUUCAGAUGGGACGAAGGUGAUGCGGUGAAUAGCCGAUGUCAUUGACGGUACCGUCAGAAGAAGCUCCGGCUAACUACGUGCCAGCAGCCGCGUAAU